GGGGAUAACACUUGGAAACAGGUGCUAAUACCGUAUAACACUAUUUUCCGCAUGGAAGAAAGUUGAAAGGCGCUUUUGCGUCACUGAUGGAUGGACCCGCGGUGCAUUAGCUAGUUGGUGAGGUAACGGCUCACCAAGGCCACGAUGCAUAGCCGACCUGAGAGGGUGAUCGGCCACACUGGGACUGAGACACGGCCCAGACUCCUACGGGAGGCAGCAGUAGGGAAUCUUCGGCAAUGGACGAAAGUCUGACCGAGCAACGCCGCGUGAGUGAAGAAGGUUUUCGGAUCGUAAAACUCUGUUGUUAGAGAAGAACAAGGAUGAGAGUAGAACGUUCAUCCCUUGACGGUAUCUAACCAGAAAGCCACGGCUAACUACGUGCCAGCAGCCGCGGUAAUACGUAGGUGGCAAGCGUUGUCCGGAUUUAUUGGGCGUAAAGCGAGCGCAGGCGGUUUCUUAAGUCUGAUGUGAAAGCCCCCGGCUCAACCGGGGAGGGUCAUUGGAAACUGGGAGACUUGAGUGCAGAAGAGGAGAGUGGAAUUCCAUGUGUAGCGGUGAAAUGCGUAGAUAUAUGGAGGAACACCAGUGGCGAAGGCGGCUCUCUGGUCUGUAACUGACGCUGAGGCUCGAAAGCGUGGGGAGCGAACAGGAUUAGAUACCCU
rnacentral:rRNA from 1 species